rnacentral:rRNA from 1 species
GACGAACGCUGGCGGCGUGCUUAACACAUGCAAGUCGAACGGAAAGGCCCUGCUUUUGUGGGGUGCUCGAGUGGCGAACGGGUGAGUAACACGUGAGUAACCUGCCCUUGACUUUGGGAUAACUUCAGGAAACUGGGGCUAAUACCGGAUAGGAGCUCCUGCUGCAUGGUGGGGGUUGGAAAGUUUCGGCGGUUGGGGAUGGACUCGCGGCUUAUCAGCUUGUUGGUGGGGUAGUGGCUUACCAAGGCUUUGACGGGUAGCCGGCCUGAGAGGGUGACCGGCUGCAUGGGACAUGGGAAGCGGCGCAGGGGCAGACGGGGGGGUGGGGUGGGAAAGAGUGCACGACGGGGGGACGGCAGGUGAGGGAACGCCGCGUGCGGGACCACGGGCGUCAGGUUUGACACGGCUGCGCGGGGUGGGGAGGGGUGAGGGAAGGAAAGGGGCAGAGAGCCACCGGCGGACGCGGUGACAGCGGCCAAUGCAGAAGGGGGAAGGGCACCCGCCGGACC